rnacentral:rRNA from 1 species
AUGCAGGCCGCCGUCGCCUUGAGCCAGAGCCAGGCGUCCCUUCUCAUCCGGCGGCUCCCAAGGCCUUACCACGGCGGCGGGCCGGAGCCGGAUGAUGGCGUGCUGCUGCUAGGACGACGAGGCGUGUCGCUCCCGCGGCUGCGGCGCGCCUGUUGCUCCGCGAGCCUAUCCGUCGGUACCGGCGCCGGCUCCGGCGCCGGCAGUGAGCAUGUUCCCGUAUUCCCAAGACAAAAAACAUGGGAUCCUUACAUGCUUCUUGGUGUUGAUCGUGAUGCAUCUGAAGAAGAGAUCAAUAGUGCAAGAAACUUCCUUCUUCAACAAUACGCUGGGUAUGAAGAAAGCGAAGAGGCAAUUGAAGGUGCUUAUGAUAAGAUAAUGAUGAAAAGCUACUCACACCGUAAGAAAUCGAAAAUCAACCUGAAAAGCAAAUUAAAGAAGCAAGUGGAAGAAUCUCCAUCAUGGGUUAAGUCACUGCUUGGACACUUCGAGGUGCCAUCGAUGGAUGUCGUGUCAAAAAGGUUUGCUCUCUUUGGCUUUAUUGCUGGGUGGAGCAUCGCAACUUCUGCUGAGACUGGACCUACCUUCCAGCUUGCAUUGGCACUCGUCUCAUGCAUAUACUUCCUCAACGACAAGAUGAAAAACCUUGCCAGGGCGUCUGCUACAGGGCUUGGGCUCUUUGCGGGUGGCUGGAUAGUAGGUUCGCUGGUAGUCCCAGUGAUCCCGGCAUUUAUUUUCCCGCAUACUUGGUGUCUGGAGCUCCUUACUUCGCUGGUCGCUUAUGUAUUUUUAUUCUUGGGUUGCUCUCUCGUCAAGUGA